AUAUACGGCCAUAUCACGUUGAAAGCACCGGUUCUCGUCCGAUCACCGAAGUGAAGCAACGUUGAGCCUAGUCAGUACUUAGAUGGGUGACCGUUUGGGAAACCUAGGUGCAGUAAGCA
rnacentral:rRNA from 1 species